rnacentral:rRNA from 1 species
CGGGAUGCCAUGGGGCGACCCAGAGCGGAACCCGAAAACCUAGUCUCAGUUCGGAUUGGAGUCUGCAACCCGACUCCAUGAAGCUGGAUUCGCUAGUAAUCGCGCAUCAGCCAUGGCGCGGUGAAUACGUUCCCGGGCCUUGUACACACCGCCCGUCAAGCCAUGGAAGCCGGGAGUGCCUGAAGUGCGUGAGCGCAAGCAGCGCCCUAAGGUAAAACCGGUGACUGGGGCUAAGUCGUAACAAGGUAUC